UGCAUACUUAAUAUGUGCUCUGAAGUCAUUUCUUUGGUUUUAAGAUGUUUUCCGGUAGAUAAAGAGUACAUUUUCUUAGCAAGAAGAAAUCUGUUUUCAUUCUAAUAGUUAGAGCAAUGAUUACAUCUUAUAGGAGGAGAAUGGAGGCCCCUACAAGGCAUCAAUUCCAUUGAUUCAGGCCACAAGCCCAGAAGCAGAUGUUUUACUUGCUUAUGAGAUGAAUGGAGAGAUACUUAGGUAGCAGGGUUGUGAAAAGAGUGCCCGAGUGUUAAGAGUUCUGUCUUUGUAAAUUUCCUUCUUUAGUUUUGAUGUUUUGGUGCCACUGGGCAUUAUCCCUUGCUGUAAGGGUUUUGAUCAUGUUUCUAUAUAGUUCAACUCUUGUAUAUAUGUAUUAUUGUAUAUAUGUAAUAUGUUUCUUUGGAGUGGUUUAGA